UGAGAAUAACACACUCCCACCCAGUAGUUUGAAUCACAUGUUGGCUUUGUUUGAAUCCCUCAAUAUUCCUGUCUCCCCUCACAAAACUUUGGGUCCAGAUACCAACAUGCAAUUUUUGGGGAUCCAACUAGACACGAUACACAUGCAGGCUAGUCUACCUCAAGACAAGAUUGAGCGUACCCUGGCAAGUAUUGAACAUUACCUGCUACAAAGUCAUUGCAAUCACAAAGAACUUCAAUCACUGCUUGGGUCGCUCAAUUUUGCCAUGAGGAUCAUACCCCAAGGUAGAUAAUUUAAAUCCCACCUGCUAUCCUUGUUUCCACUAUUCACCUCAGACACUUCACAUAUCACAUUAAAUGUACACGCAACCUCGGAUUUACGCAUGUGGGUUUUUUUUCUCACCUCUUGGAACGGGCGAACCAUGUUUAUACCACCCCCCUCCGACACUUCACCUACACUGUGGA